CGUGCUAUACAUGCAGUCGAGCGAACGGACGAGAAGCUUGCUUCUCUGAUGUUAGCGGCGGACGGGUGAGUAACACGUGGAUAACCUACCUAUAAGACUGGGAUAACUUCGGGAAACCGGAGCUAAUACCGGAUAAUAUUUUGAACCGCAUGGUUCAAAAGUGAAAGACGGUCUUGCUGUCACUUAUAGAUGGAUCCGCGCUGCAUUAGCUAGUUGGUAAGGUAACGGCUUACCAAGGCAACGAUGCAUAGCCGACCUGAGAGGGUGAUCGGCCACACUGGAACUGAGACACGGUCCAGACUCCUACGGGAGGCAGCAGUAGGGAAUCUUCCGCAAUGGGCGAAAGCCUGACGGAGCAACGCCGCGUGAGUGAUGAAGGUCUUCGGAUCGUAAAACUCUGUUAUUAGGGAAGAACAUAUGUGUAAGUAACUGUGCACAUCUUGACGGUACCUAAUCAGAAAGCCACGGCUAACUACGUGCCAGCAGCCGCGGUAAUACGUAGGUGGCAAGCGUUAUCCGGAAUUAUUGGGCGUAAAGCGCGCGUAGGCGGUUUUUUAAGUCUGAUGUGAAAGCCCACGGCUCAACCGUGGAGGGUCAUUGGAAACUGGAAAACUUGAGUGCAGAAGAGGAAAGUGGAAUUCCAUGUGUAGCGGUGAAAUGCGCAGAGAUAUGGAGGAACACCAGUGGCGAAGGCGACUUUCUGGUCUGUAACUGACGCUGAUGUGCGAAAGCGUGGGGAUCAAACAGGAUUAGAUACCCUGGUAGUCCACGCCGUAAACGAUGAGUGCUAAGUGUUAGGGGGUUUCCGCCCCUUAGUGCUGCAGCUAACGCAUUAAGCACUCCGCCUGGGGAGUACGACCGCAAGGUUGAAACUCAAAGGAAUUGACGGGGACCCGCACAAGCGGUGGAGCAUGUGGUUUAAUUCGAAGCAACGCGAAGAACCUUACCAAAUCUUGACAUCCUUUGACAACUCUAGAGAUAGAGCUUUCCCCUUCGGGGGACAAAGUGACAGGUGGUGCAUGGUUGUCGUCAGCUCGUGUCGUGAGAUGUUGGGUUAAGUCCCGCAACGAGCGCAACCCUUAAGCUUAGUUGCCAUCAUUAAGUUGGGCACUCUAAGUUGACUGCCGGUGACAAACCGGAGGAAGGUGGGGAUGACGUCAAAUCAUCAUGCCCCUUAUGAUUUGGGCUACACACGUGCUACAAUGGACAAUACAAAGGGCAGCGAAACCGCGAGGUCAAGCAAAUCCCAUAAAGUUGUUCUCAGUUCGGAUUGUAGUCUGCAACUCGACUACAUGAAGCUGGAAUCGCUAGUAAUCGUAGAUCAGCAUGCUACGGUGAAUACGUUCCCGGGUCUUGUACACACCGCCCGUCACACCACGAGAGUUUGUAACACCCGAAGCCGGUGGAGUAACCUUUUAGGAGCUAGCCGUCGAAG
rnacentral:rRNA from 1 species